rnacentral:rRNA from 1 species
UCGGCGAACGGGUGAGUAACACGUGAGCAACCUGCCCUGGACUCUGGGAUAAGCGCUGGAAACGGCGUCUAAUACUGGAUAUGAGACGUGAUCGCAUGGUCGUGUUUGGAAAGAUUUUUCGGUCUGGGAUGGGCUCGCGGCCUAUCAGCUUGUUGGUGAGGUAAUGGCUCACCAAGGCGUCGACGGGUAGCCGGCCUGAGAGGGUGACCGGCCACACUGGGACUGAGACACGGCCCAGACUCCUACGGGAGGCAGCAGUGGGGAAUAUUGCACAAUGGGCGGAAGCCUGAUGCAGCAACGCCGCGUGAGGGAUGACGGCCUUCGGGUUGUAAACCUCUUUUAGCAGGGAAGAAGCGAAAGUGACGGUACCUGCAGAAAAAGCGCCGGCUAACUACGUGCCAGCAGCCGCGGUAAUACGUAGGGCGCAAGCGUUAUCCGGAAUUAUUGGGCGUAAAGAGCUCGUAGGCGGUUUGUCGCGUCUGCUGUGAAAUCCCGAGGCUCAACCUCGGGCCUGCAGUGGGUACGGGCAGACUAGAGUGCGGUAGGGGAGAUUGGAAUUCCUGGUGUAGCGGUGGAAUGCGCAGAUAUCAGGAGGAACACCGAUGGCGAAGGCAGAUCUCUGGGCCGUAACUGACGCUGAGGAGCGAAAGGGUGGGGAGCAAACAGGCUUAGAUACCCUGGUAGUCCACCCCGUAAACGUUGGGAACUAGUUGUGGGGACCAUUCCACGGUUUCCGUGACGCAGCUAACGCAUUAAGUUCCCCGCCUGGGGAGUACGGCCGCAAGGCUAAAACUCAAAGGAAUUGACGGGGACCCGCACAAGCGGCGGAGCAUGCGGAUUAAUUCGAUGCAACGCGAAGAACCUUACCAAGGCUUGACAUAUACGAGAACGGGCCAGAAAUGGUCAACUCUUUGGACACUCGUAAACAGGUGGUGCAUGGUUGUCGUCAGCUCGUGUCGUGAGAUGUUGGGUUAAGUCCCGCAACGAGCGCAACCCUCGUUCUAUGUUGCCAGCACGUAAUGGUGGGAACUCAUGGGAUACUGCCGGGGUCAACUCGGAGGAAGGUGGGGAUGACGUCAAAUCAUCAUGCCCCUUAUGUCUUGGGCUUCACGCAUGCUACAAUGGCCGGUACAAAGGGCUGCAAUACCGUAAGGUGGAGCGAAUCCCAAAAAGCCGGUCCCAGUUCGGAUUGAGGUCUGCAACUCGACCUCAUGAAGUCGGAGUCGCUAGUAAUCGCAGAUCAGCAACGCUGCGGUGAAUACGAGCUUUCCCGGGUCUUGUACACACCGCCCGUCAAGUCAUGAA